AGAACCAAGGGGUGAGUCGCUUAGAACAAUGUGCCAUACACACUAUAUCAGCUAUGAUAACACGAUAUAAAAAUGCGAUUCACAGUGAUAUCACAAUCAUUUCACGCUUUAUCACAAUGUGUGGCACACUGAGGCACACUUCUGACAACUCAUUUUUUCGAAUACUGGUAUCACUGCAGUUGUCAUAGCAACUCGUGUUUUCGUUUUGUUAUGAUUAUUGUUGUUGUAAUUCUGCAAAGUGAAAUUCAGCCCGAAGCCGUUGUAACUGCAACUAUAAUUCGUCGCGGGAUAACUGUUAGUUAAACAUUUCAUUAAACCUCUUGAAAUCAAAGGAUGAGACCCCACUUGAAGGCGAAUAUAGAACGAACAAUAUUAGCAAAUCGAAACGCCGGAACGAUCCGUGGUAUAGAGACGGACAUGCAGAUUGUGGUUUGCAACAGGAAACGCCGCUGGCAGAGCACUGUUUAGUGAAUGCGAACUUUUUACAUCGGCAAGAUUAUUUUAAUUAAACAAAACUAAGAACGAUA